UACGAAGGGGGCUAGCGUUGCUCGGAAUCACUGGGCGUAAAGGGUGCGUAGGCGGGUCUUUAAGUCAGAGGUGAAAUCCUGGAGCUCAACUCCAGAACUGCCUUUGAUACUGAGGAUCUUGAGUUCGGGAGAGGUGAGUGGAACUGCGAGUGUAGAGGUGAAAUUCGUAGAUAUUCGCAAGAACACCAGUGGCGAAGGCGGC
rnacentral:rRNA from 1 species